rnacentral:rRNA from 1 species
AUACGGAGGGUGCAAGCGUUGUUCGGAAUCACUGGGCGUAAAGGGCGCGCAGGCGGUUUGGUAAGUCAGAUGUGAAAGCCCACGGCUCAACCGUGGAAGUGCAUUUGAAACUGUCAGACUUGAGUACUAGAGGGGAAAGUGGAAUUCCCGGUGUAGAGGUGAAAUUCGUAGAUAUCGGGAGGAAUACCGGUGGCGAAGGCGACUUUCUGGCUAGAUACUGACGCUGAGGCGCGAAAGCGUGGGGAGCAAACAGAAUUAGAAACCCGGGUAGUCC